UGUAGGCUCUUGAAUGGAAAUCAAUUAUCAGGUUCUUUGCCCGAUGAGCUUGGUUAUCUUCCUAACCUGGACAGAAUACAAAUAGAUCAGAACCAUAUAUCGGGACCAAUACGAAAAUCAUUUGCAAACCUGGAGAAAUUAAAGCAUUUGCACAUGAACAAUAAUUCAAUCAGUGGGGAAAUUCCACCUGAGCUUUCCAAAUUACCAAUUCUUGUUCACUCCCUUCUGGACAAUAACAACUUAUCUGGGAGCCUUCCACCAGAGUUAUCUCAGUUGCCAAACUUGUACAUACUGAAUGUUCUUUCUAGCUUUUCUGAAGUGUAACUUUUAAUUUGGUUUCUUGACUUUCAUUGAUUAAUUGAUUCUUGUUUCCUUUCCAGAUUCAUGCAUAUCACCUUUUUUAUUUUUGUUUUUGUUUUUAUCCUUGUAUCCAA